rnacentral:rRNA from 1 species
GAUGAACGCUAGGCGGGAGGCUUAACACAUGCAAGUCGAGGGGCAGCAUUUACUUCGGUAAGAUGGCGACCGGCGCACGGGUGCGUAACGCGUAUGCAACCUGCCUUAUACAAAGGGAUAGCCCAUGGAAACGUGGAUUAAUACCUUAUGGUACUGUAAAACUGCAUAGUUUAACAGUUAAAACUUCGGUGGUAUAAGAUGGGCAUGCGUAGGAUUAGCUAGAUGGUGAGGUAACGGCUCACCAUGGCGACGAUCCUUAGGGGUUCUGAGAGGAUUAUCCCCCACACUGGUACUGAGACACGGACCAG